rnacentral:rRNA from 1 species
UACGUAGGGGGCAAGCGUUGUCCGGAAUCAUUGGGCGUAAAGCGCGUGUAGGCGGCUUUGCAAGUCGGGUGUGAAAGCCCUCAGCUCAACUGAGGAAGUGCGCCCGAAACUGCAGAGCUUGAGUGCCGGAGAGGGUGGCGGAAUUCCCCAAGUAGAGGUGAAAUUCGUAGAUAUUGGGAAGAACACCGGUGGCGAAGGCGGCGACCUGGUCCGAUACUGACGCUGAGGCGCGAAAGCGUGGGGAGCAAACAGG